CGGCAUUCCAACAAGUCGCUCACCAUCUGCUGUAAAGGCCACAACUGAAGGGGUGGUUCUGGCACCUUCGGCAUUCUCCAGCACCUUUGCUUGUUUACCUUCCAUAACUGCCACGCAGGAGUUGGUAGUACCCAAAUCAAUACCAACAACUGCUCCCUUGAUUGCUUCUGAUGCAUAAUCCCGCCUUGAAACAAGUCUAAAAGCCUCAUGACUAAGG
rnacentral:misc_RNA from 1 species